rnacentral:lncRNA from 1 species
CACAGGGCCGCCUCCUCCUGCGGCCCGCGGGGAAGGGGCGCAUCCCACCCCGCUCUGCAGGCCGCCCUUCUGCCAGCUGGGAGGCGAGGGCACACGUCCUAAGCCUGCCCAAGGGGGGAGAGGAAUCGCGCCGGUAGGAGAGCGCACGGGAACCAGGAACGCAAGGCGGGCACAGGGGAGCCGAAGGAGCCAGACAGGGCCCGGCCACGCGCCCUCCUCGCUCGGCUGCGCUCCGUGACGGGAACCCAGGCUCCCACGCACGGGGAAUGCCUAGAACGGAGCUAGAAUGGAGGCCCCUUUGUGUGACUAAAUUUGGCAAGAAUAUGGAUCUGAGCCAGUCUUUCCACGUGUGCUCCCAGCUCCCAGCUGAGAAGGCCAAGGGUUCUCUUCCGGUGCUCCAGGAAAGUACCUGAUUGACAAGAUCUACAUCCAAUGCCCAGAAAACACAUCCUACACAGGCACAGUGAAGCGUGGAGUUGAAGAAUUUUCCAGUGAGUUCCAUCAAAGUAAAUAAACCAACCUAG